rnacentral:rRNA from 1 species
UACGUAGGGGGCAAGCGUUGUCCGGAAUCAUUGGGCGUAAAGCGCGUGUAGGCGGCCCGAUAAGUCCGCUGUGAAAGUCCAGGGCUCAACCCUCGGAUGCCGGUGGAUACUGUCGGGCUAGAGUACGGAAGAGGCGAGUGGAAUUCCUGGUGUAGCGGUGAAAUGCGCAGAUAUCAGGAGGAACACCAAUUGCGAAGGCAGCUCGCUGGGACGUUACUGACGCUGAGACGCGAAAGCGUGGGGAGCAAACAGG